GGGGGGUCCCGGGGGGGUGGCUGAGGGCUGAGUGCGGCUCUCAGGGUGUGCAAAGCCGGGGGAGGUGCUGCCUUUGGGUAUGACUCAUUGCAGCGCGCGCCGCUCGGGCUUUGUUUUGCUCUCCAUCUCUUCUCAGCCCUCCGAAGCCUCUUCUCUCCUGUUUCCUUAUCUGGGUGCUUUAUGGCUCCGGGCCUGUUCUUCAUCUCCCUGCCACCUUAUCUUUAUGGUUCUGCUGUUCUUCCUCUCCUUGCAGCUCUGGCAUCCGAACUCAACCGCGGCGAUGCUCUGCAGGGCUGCAGCUUUAACCCCUCCCGCUCUGCUCCCAGUGGGGCAACCAAACCUGGGGGGCACCGCGGCCCCAAACUGGGGGCAGGGUGACGUCGGGCCACCUCCCCAUCCCCAGGGGGUCCCCCCGUGUCCCCCCCCCCGCUCCCCAUGGGCCACCAGCCCUGCUCACACCCCAUGAGCGCCCUGCAGCAGGAAGAGAAGCGACGCCAACGGCCGUUGGAUGGGAAGGAAGGCUCUCCAGCCCCCCCAGGCAUCAGCGCUCAAAUGAAUGGGAAGGGAAAGUCCUGGUGGGUAAACAACCCCAGGACUUCCCAGUGGAGCACAGCCAAGGGGGGGAUUAUCCUGGAUUAACCACCAGCCCCUCCGGGACCGGCCCUGGCUCUCACCACAGCCCUUCCCUGUGGGAUCUGUAUGGGAUCCGUACGGCAACCCCAACCUGGGGGGCGCACGGAGAGGUUGGGGUCCCCCCUUGGCCGCCUCCCCACUCCCCUCGCUCUGCCUGCUCCUGGCUCCUGGGCUGAAGAUGGGAUUACAUCUCCUCCAGCCCCAGGAUGUGUCCUGGAUGGGGCUGUGUGAAGCCAUGGCGAUGGGCUGCCCACCCCCUGGGGACACCCACGGGCACCUCAUCCCACCCAGUGGUCGGUGGGGUCGGGUAGGGGACACAGAGGGACACCUCCACGCUGCAGAGCCCAGGAGCUGCUCAUCAUUCCACCCCAUGCAUACACUGCAGCCCUCGGUGCUGCCAGGACCCCAAGUGGGGCUUUUGGGGCCGGUGCCGAAUUAACCCGGCGGGACGGAGCGUCCCAUAAGAGGUGCCCUACAAUCAAGGAGCUCCUCUCGGAAUGGAGGAGCAACGCCGAAGUGGUGGUGGUGGUGGGGGGGGGGGAUCGUGGGGGUCUCCUAUCCAAACCCUGCGCUGAGCCCCACCGCAAAGGGGCUGAGAUGUGUUGGAGACCCCCCCCCUUAAGCAGCAC
ensembl:lncRNA